rnacentral:lncRNA from 1 species
AACUACUAAUUCCAUAGGUUUUGGAUUUUUACCAAUAACCUAUUAAUACUAUUUUCUAAUUUAGAAUAUUUAAUAUUUUAUAUAACGGGCAUUAAGGACAGUUUUUAGGUGGCUUUCUGCAUGUAGAUAGGAGGGGCUUCUUUGUAAAUUAGGUUUGUUUUUCUCCUUCAUUUGAAGCAAACUAACACUAACAAACUGGACUCAUUUCACCCGAUUGCAGUUUGGUGAAGUUGUCAGAUAAAUGCUUGUUGGCUUUUGUUUUCAGCUUUAGGCACAAUCAAGAUUGUGAUUCAUUUUUAUAGUCAGGAAGACAAGCAAAAAAAGAUAUACAAGUCAUUGAUAAUUGUCUUUGAAAUGAGAUUUUCCUUCCCAUAAUUAUUUGGAAGAUUUGCUACCCUGAACUUUCCUAGAAUAGUUUAAAGUUAAUUCAACACUGAGUGUCAGUGAAGAAAAAGAGUGUCGGUGUCUGGAAAGAGCAGACAUAGAACAAUAGAGUAUUUCAGCUCAUUAAAAGUUACCUAAGUAGGCCAGGAGGGUGGUGCACAGCUUUCAUUGCAGUACUGAAGAGGUAGAGGCAGGCAGAUCUCUGUAAAUUCCAGGCCAGCCAGGACUACAUAGUGAGUUCUAGGCCAGCCAGGGCUACGCAGUGAGACCUUGUCUCCAAAAAUACAACACUCAACAACAGAAUUUUAGCCAAAUAGCAUGAACUAAAUGGAAAGCAGUGAAAAAUAUAAUUAUAGAGUAUUAAUUUCAAGUGUAUAUAAUCGCUGCAGAUUUUUAGUGGAUCAAUAUUAUAUUGGCACAUUAAAUUCCUUUAAACAUAUAAGAAAGAUGUACUAAGAGGGUAAAAUAUUUCCAUUUUAUUUUUACACUCUGAAUUUGCUUGAUAAGGGAUUUUCUUUCCUGGAGAAAUGGAAAGACAAUUUUUAUCCCUUCUUGAAUUUUUAAGUGUCAAGUUAUUAAGGCUGAGUGCAUUUUACUUCUCUCAGUAUAUUCUGUUCUUUCACUGAGAGGGAGAAAAGUGGGACAGGUUUAAGUACUUGGAAAUAGGAUAAUAUUUUUUAUAAUAUGGAAAAACUUACACUGUAAAAUGAACCGGCAUGUGCUUUCAUGUAGACAUUAGCUAAGUCAUCUCUCUGAAUUCUUCUAGUUACGGAAACAUACCUCUGAAUUCCUUCCUUCAGCCCCAUAUAAGUAAGUACUCAUUGGCUAGAGUGGAGACUGUUUCAAGUGGGUGGGGUUUGUUUUGUUUUGUUUUGUUUCUGCAAGUAUAGAUAGAUCCCCUCUGAGGGUGCUCACUACUUGUAACGCCAGUUUUACUGUAUGUCAGCGUUCCUCUAGGUAGACGGGCAUAUACUUCUUUUAGACUAAUGUUUUUAGGGCUGUCUGUCAUCCAGUUUCCUUUUUCCUUCUGAAAACUUUUGGGUACCUGAGCUUCCGUGGGAGGCUCCACAUACCCAGAUACCUGGCAUCAGUGCUUCAUUAACAAUGAAAUAAUACCUGAUGGCUUGUUUUUGCAGGCCACCUCUUCAGACCAAGUGUCUGUGCAGUGAGGUGUAAGUCAUCCCAUAAAUGAACCUUCAGGAACAGUCAAAAAAAAAAAAAAGUAAAAAAGAUGAGCAAGUUGGUCAGUAGCUGUUUCUGAGUUUAUUCUUCCCAGUCACAGUGCUGUGUGCAAGUCUGUAAUUUUGUUUACAGUUUUAUGAGGCUACAUCUGUGGCUGGGGUUGUAGCUCAUGCAGAAGAGUGCUUGGCUAGCAUGCAUGAAGCCCUGAUUUCAAUCCCCAGUGUGUCACAAACUGGGCUUGUAGGCUUGGUGGUACACUCCUGUAGUCCCAGCACGCAGGAGCAAUAGUUCAAGUUUAUCUUUGAUUGCAUAUUAAGUUGGAGGCCAUCCUAGGAUAGCCAUAGCCUUCUGCAUCAGAGACUAGAGAUGGAAGUUACUCUGGUAUUUCACACCUAAAGCUUUCAUCUUCCUGACUUUUGUUUGGAGAAACAAACAAAACUCCCUGGAAUUAGCCGCUUGAUAAUCUUCAGGUCAAAGGAGUGGCUCAAAUGCAUUGUGUAUGGACUCCCACCUUUAACAAAAGGAUCUGUGAAAACGGGACGUUUCUAAAGACUAAGCAGUGAGGCUGGGAGAGCACGCAGUGGGUGGAAACAGGGAUGUGUUUUUCUUUGCUGGGAUCCUAGAAACUGUAUAAUUAGUAUUUUCCAAGUUCUCAGAACCACAGAUAAUGGAGCAGUUGUUGCUUUUUGACAUAGAUGUCAGGGAAGGGUCCAUCAUGGAGACCUAUUGUCUUAGAGGCCACCACUGCAUUAUAGUGAGGGAUUUGCUUUGCUGUAGCUUUGGUGGCUCUCUCCUUAGAAAACACCAAACUGGGCCUUUCCAGACUUUUCUGUAAGGAUUUAGGGAAAACACUGGUGACUUGGAAUGAAGGAAGAAUCUUGGCAUAGAUGGUUCUUGUUAAGCAUUCAUUUUGAUCAGGGGAGUAACAGGAAGCUUUGGUCUUUGCAGCAAUAGACUUGAUCUCUGAUGGUGGCUAGUUGUAAAUACUGCCCUUUUCAGUCCAGGAAUGAUCUCAUUGUUGAUGGGGACCUUGCAAACCUACAAGUGUCUUCUCACACCCAGAAACUAGGAACAUAGAGGGCUGGCAGUGUACUUGGGUGGAAAAGCACACAAAUCACAAACCUAGCCUGCCCCUGCCUUGCCCCCUCCAAAGACCACCACCAACAACAGCAAGCAUGGACUGGUGGGACCCUCUAGAAUAGAGACUGAAAGUUUCCGGGUGCCUUCUUAGCCCAGGACUCGCCUCCUCCUCUUUAAACAGAGAACAGAAUCACAGGCAGUUUACUUAGAGCUCUACUGUGAGUAAAUAGUAGUCUAGAAUGACUGUGGAGCGGGACCAUUUGCCAGAAGGCCUGCAUGACCAAAAGACUAUUUUAUUUUAGCUGGGCGUGGUGGCACACACACCUUUAAUCCCUGCACACCAGGAGGCGGGGCCAUCUCUGAGUUUGAGAUCAGCCUGGUCUAUAUCACAAGCUCCAGACCAAGAAAAAAAGUUCUUAUUUUGAUACAUGGCUUCUUAAGUAUAUUUUAAUAGGUUGAAUGGAUUAAUACUUCGACAACUCAUUCCUCUUAACUUACAUAUUUAUUUGACUAAAGUUGUUGUGUAGGUAUAUUUAUCACAUUUGACCUCUUGGUACAUAAAAAAUUCUAUAAAAAAUAAUUUUUUUAGGAACUAGAGAGAGAUGCUCAGCUGUUAAGAGCACUUACUGUUCUGUCAGAGAAACACAGAUCCGGUGCCCAGAACCCACAGCUCACCAAUGCCUGAGGAAUCUGAUGGCCCCUCCUGGCCUCAGUGGGCACAUACACAAAUAAAUAAAAUAACAUAUAUCAGGCAUGGAUCAUACAUUGGAAUUUCUGGUCAGCUUGGGCAAUAUAAGGCCCUGUCUCUAAAAAGAAAAAAAAAAAAAAUCAACCCAUCUUUAGUCAGGCCUGAGUUAUAAGGGAGACUAAGGUGUUUCCAAGUGUGACUCUUAAAAGUCACAACUAAAAGAGAACUGUUGAAGUUAUGUGUGCCUUUGAGAGUUGAAAGGGCUGUGGAACAUGAGCCAGAGACUUGAGCACUAGCUCUGCCUCAGGCAUUUCUUCUCCGGCUCAGCGACACGUAGUGAUGGUACCUGCUGCCCUCACCUACCUCACCAAGCUUUCUUGAGAAUCAGUCUGUUUGUGAGUAAGGCUUGACUUCCACAAAGGAAAAGCUACCCAGAAUUCAGAGUGUAGAGAAGGUUCUUUUCCAGUCGGCCUCUGUCAAAGUGUCCUCAUUGUGUGUCAGGUCGCUCCUGCCAACGUCCCACACAUGGGCACAUUUUUUUCUUUGUAAUAACCCCUAGCAAAAACAUAGUUUUCAAAAACCGAAUUCCUUUCGGUGGUGCUAAAGCAGUUGCAGUUGCAUUUUGAGUUAAUGGUGAAGCCGUCCGGCACUCAGAUUUUAACAUGGCCUGUCUCCAGGCACCUGUACUUCCUGCCUGCCUCAGCCGCUGCUCUGCAGACUUGCCCUGUGUGUUCCUUUCCCUUGGAGAAGAGGGUAGGUUCUGAGAAGAAAAGUGUGCUGAUUUCACUUGUCACUUUAUAGAACUGACCUUGGCUUUACUUUCAAAAUUCCAUCCACCAUUUAUCUAUAAUAGUUAUAGAUACAUAACAAGCCAGACACAGUGGGACACCCCUAGUCCCAGUAUGUAGGAGGCUGCCGCAGGCAGAUGACAAGUUUGAGGUAAGCCAAUGUUACUUAGUGAGACCCUUUCCCAGAAGUCAGAGAGAAGCUGCUGCAGUGAUACCAUAUUUGACCCGGUACCCUAUGGAGUGCAAGCAGGACCUUAUAUUUCAACAGGAAACCUAUUGGUUUCCUUCUAAGAUGGGGGCUCCUCUUUAUAGGAAAUUACAAAGGGCAUAUCGAUGCCACAACUAUAAAACAAUUCCUUUUUGCAAAAGUGUGUUGCUUUUGUUUUUGUUUGUAAAGAAAAUGGAUGUAUGUUAAAUAUACAGGGUAUGGAUGAACUUAGUGUUUAUUCUUAUAUCUUCUCUAUUACUGACCUCCCAGUCUUACAAGCAUUUGGGCCUUCCCAACUUCUUGAUAACAAAGCUGGUAUCUGUGGUUAGUUUAAUAGAACAAUUGGAAUUACAAGGUGAAACAUUCAGGGCAAAGAUUUAUACUUAAAAAUAAAAAAGCUGGGUGUGGUGACUCACACCUGUAAUCCCGGCAUUUGGAAGGCAGGGGCAGGAGGAUUGUCCCAAAUUCCAAGCCAGCCGUGGCUAUGGAGCAAGACCUUGUCUCAAAAGUAAAUAAAAAUGCCUUCAGUGUGUUGUGCGAUAGCUAACACUGAUUUAUCAGAACACUGUUAAACAGUUUUUACUGUAAUGUGUAACUUUAAUGUCUCUCUCAGUUAUGGACCCAUAAAAGUAUUACUGUAUCUUGUAAGUAAAUAUCAUUUAUGUGAACUAAUAUGUGGCUGCAUUUGUAGGCUGUGGAAAGUGGUGGUGUAUGUAUAUGUGUGUAUUUAUAAAUAGUUAUAACACUACAUGGAUUGAGUUUAAAUUCACAAGAUAAUGUGUUGUUUCAUGUUGGGAAGAGUAAAAUGGCAGUAUGACCAUUCCGUCGGAACCCUGCCCCUCUCUCUAGAUUCCCAAAACACACAGCAAGCGUUACUAAGGCUCCUGUUUAGACAAUUGCUGCUGCUUUUAAACCAAGAGUAAUGGAGGAAGCAUAACCUUUUUCUUAAAGGGAUCUUUCCAAGGAGUGAAACGUAGCCUUUUAAAUGUUACCUUUUAAUCACCUAGACCAUGUGUGCCUAUUUGUAUUGCAGAUGUGAACUUCUGUUUCAGGGUUCAUAACAGAAUGUUUUGAGACUGAGCUAUUACAUAAAUUCAAAGUAAUCUCCCCAACCCUCUUCUCAUACUCGCUGCUCUUGCCAAAUAUUCCUACUGACACCAGGGCACAACCAAGGAUGGGGCUCUGACCUCCUUCUUCUUCAUCUCUUCCCAAAGUAGCUCUGUCACAUGCCUAAGCUCACCUCAUAUUCUUUGUUGGCUUUUCAUAAGAAAGAACAAUUUACUGUAGUAUUUAGAGACCACAGCAUUUCAUAAUGUGUCUACCUGCCACCUUUUUACAUAUUUGGCUACAUGCUAACAUCAAUUAAGACUGUGUGGGUCUGAUCUGUAAGUUACUAUGGGACCAGAAAAGAUACAAAAUGAUGAACUUGGCUGCCAUAUUCAUGAAAAGGAAUUGUAACUCUGUUAGGAGUGAUGUGUGUGUGAUCACUGUGUCAUUGGACUCACCAAAUGUUGAACUCUAUCACUGUGUACUGAGGGCCAGGCUCUGAUUUGUCAUGUUAACUGCUAAAGAUGAUGUGUGAUUAUGAUAAGCAGAAAGCAAAUAAAGUUUUUAAUCAAAAAUGUUUGUCUUCACUAUUUGGUAUUAAAUUUUCUACUCGGGAUGGGGCUGGAGAGAUGGCUCAGAGGUUAAGAGCACCGACUGCUCUUCCAGAGGUCCUGAGUUCAAUUCCCAGCAAUCAUAUGGUGACUCAUAACCAUCCAUUAUGAGAUCUGGUGCCCUCUUCUGGUGUGCAGAAGCAGAAUGUUGUAUACAUGAUAGAUAAAUAAAUAAAUAAAUAAAUAAAUAAAUAAAUAAAAUUUCUACUUUGGACUAAAUCAUCUAACCCUAAAAAAUUAUUUGCAAAAAUUAUUUCACCUCCUGUGUGAAGUUGAGCUUGAAGAAGCUAGUUUUAAACAGUUUGGUCAUAUGGAACACUUACAUUAAAGAAGUGCUUAUGAUUCUUCCAAAGUCACACUGUCACCAAAAUGCCCUGUGACCAAACAAGAAGCAUUCUGUGUUGUUUGUUUUUACUCCUUCAUUUAAAAAAAUAAUGGUCUUAUUGUUGCUUAUCCUCAGUUUAAAAUGUAACUUCCACUGACACCUGCAAUAAAAUCAUAACUUUAAAAAGCCA